rnacentral:lncRNA from 1 species
CACGUCUGAAAAAUCUUAAAUUGAUUUGCAUGUUGGAAUAAGGUUUCUUCACCAUAAAGCAAAUCAUUUUCCUUACAAACAAAAGCAACUAUGGACACUUGAAAAUGAGACAGAAAACACCAAAUUAAUAAAAUAUCAUUGAACACUAUAUCUGGCAAUGCAGCGAACACGAAUGCAAGGAUUGGGAACAGAAAACGAAGGUAAAUGCAGUUAUAUUCAUAUUUUUUAACGCUCCCUUGAUGAUCAACAAUAAUGUUUCCUUAAUUAAUAUUGCCGAUAAAAAACACGUUAUAUAUGCUUAAAUAUAAAACUGCAAUCUUUGAUUUGCAAUAAAUAAUUUAAUGCUAAACACACAACAAUGUGUUUUGUAAUAAUCAUUGUUUUGAUAAGCAACAGUCAGCCUUUUUUGCAGAGUAAGGUAAAAAAAAUUAUCAACAAACAAAAUCUCAAAGCAUGUUGAAAAAAUAAAUUUCGCUUGGGGGCGGGCAUGAGUCAUUUAUGAUACUUUUUUUUUACUAAGCGUAUACCUAAAUAGGUUUUGUGAAAGUUUAUUAAAGUUUGUUUACAUAUAAAUGUUAUAAGUAUGAAACAACACGAACAUCAUAUAUACAGUAAGCAGUUUUAUGGUCUUCUGGUGUAACAAUGAAUUCCUUCUUUUCAACUUUGAAAACAGCAUUAGAUCAUAAGAAGAAUGUUAUUUUCAUGUUUGACUUUACAAAAAGAAAUAAGUUUGCAUGAAACAUAAAAUAUAUAUUGUUUUUUUCGAUUUCUGUAAAUUUCCUUGAACAUGGUUUUGAAUUAAAUCUUUUAUUGUUGAGACUUGUCUUCUAUGUAUAUAUGUACAUGUUUAAUCGCAAGUUAAUCAAAUAGUGCUUGUAUGCCUUUAAUCAAUUACUCAUAAAGACGGUUCCUUCCCAGCUAAUUAUACACUGGGAACUCCCUUUAACUUAUUGUGUCAACAAGGUCUAUGAUUUCAAGUGUUGAGAUCUCAUAAACAUGUUUAACCCCGCCGCAUUUUUGCCUGCCAAUCAGGAGCCUCCUUGUUAGCCUGUAUUAUUUUAAUUUUAGUUUCUUUUGUACAAUUUGGAAAUUAGUAUGGCGUUCAUUAUCACUAAACUAGUAUAUAUUUGUUUAUAGGCCAGCUGAAAGACGCCUCCGGGUGCGGGAAUGUCUAGCUACAUUGAAGACCUGUUGGUGACCUUCUGCUGUUGCUUUUUUUUCUAUGGUCGGGUUGUUGUCUCUUUGACACAUUCCCCAUUUCCAUUCUCAAUUUUAUUAGCUUGUUCUGAAAUAACUCCGUAAUGGAUCUUUGUUUUGGUCAAAUUUGUACGCUAAAUUAUAUGAAAGGAUAAACAUAUUUACAUGAUUAUUUUUAAUUGAAUUAGAUUUAAAUAACUUCACAAUAUUGUGCACGAUUUGACUGAAUAAGUGUGAUACAGUUUUCUAUUCUAUUAUCAUUUAAUGAUAAAAAAAAAAUGUAUUGUAGGUCGUGAUCUUUUAAAAAUCAUAAGAAGAUAAGAUUUUGAAUUUGUAGUUUCAUUUUGGUACUUUAAGUGAAAUUGCUUAAGAACUUUGAUAAAAAUAAUGAUAUUUAUUACAUGAAUGUAAUGUUUAAAGCUGUCCAUCUGCUUAAUCAAAAUUACGUGUCAGUGGUAUUAUUUCAUUUCAAAACCCGAAAAAUACUUGUAGUACAUGAGGAAUAAAUUCAAUUUGACGAUCAUAAUUAGGUUUUUUGCAAGUUCGUAUAUUGUCAUUUUGUAUAUUUGUAAAUUAGACAGUUACACGCCUAAAAAAAAUUUGCGUUAACAUAAAUGAGCUGUGUUCUUUUUCUGAAAAUCUUCCUGUUUUAAUCUAAAAUGUGUCUUUUUAAACACGAUGAAUGGCACCCCAUAUUUUGCAGAAUAUACAAUUUUUAUAUUUGAAUAAAAACAAUGAAAUAUCUUCUCAAAUUCCAAAUGCAAACUUAAAUAUUCGGCAUUUCUGACUAAAACAUAUUUUAUAUCCGUUUCCUGCAAAACAGCACUUCAUCACUCACUCAUGUUCAGUCUAAUGUUCAGACUUUUAAAAUCACUAUGGUAAUUGCAGUACUAUUCCGACAAUGUAAUUGAAUGAUUUUUGUAUAUGGUCAAUUAAUGUUACUACUGUUCAGUCGUUGUUUUAUACCAGUUUAAAACAAAGCAAUAUAUUUAAUUGAUUGAAAAAAUACCACACAAUAAAGGAAUGACGGCAACCAAAAAAUCUAAAAAGUGACUCGUGAUAACAUGUUCAAACUUUUCGGAUUUAGUUCAGAUAGAAAUGACAGUGUAAGCUGUAAAUUUAUUUCAAGCGUUAAGAUCCGCUGAUUAAUUGAAUAAAACAAUAUUAGUCAUUUACAAUUAUAUAGUAAUUUGAAUCUUUUCGAUACAUGAUGUCAUCAAGCAAACUAGCGAAAAGAGUAAACUGUUUUUUAAACAAUUUAAAAUGUCACGAUUCAUAAUAAUAUACAUUAAGCAUUCGUGUUUUGCGAGAAAAUCAAAUGUCUUCACAUUGGAAUCUAUGUGAUCCUCGCCAUUACUGUAAAAUAUAAUACGUAAUAAUCAUUGUUCUUUAUUGUAGAUAUGGUGUUUGUCAAGGUUGGUUUUUCUUCAUCAAACUUUUGAUUAACAGAAUACUUUUGGAGUGCCGACAAUUCUUUUAUAGAAUUUGAAUCAUUAACAAUUAUGGACUUUACCACAUACUUUAUAUUUUAAAAGAAAAGUGACACAUAUAAGAGUACCGACAAUUUUGUUUAUGCCUUUAUAUUUUGAAUAAUUAAAGUCAACAUACUUA